rnacentral:lncRNA from 1 species
CUGGACUGAUUGUCCAUGAUCCGUUAGCUUUUGCAGAAAUCGAAGAGUCGAUUUCGAUGCGUUUUUCGGCGAAAUUCGCCGAAAGAACGCGGUUUCUGUCACGCCCCGGGGUACCUUUUCAGUUUAAAACAAAGCGGAAAAGUGUCUGAAUUUUUUUUUUUUUAAAUCUGACCCCAGAGUAUGCCAGAUCCGCCACAAAUACAGGGAAUCCACUGUUCACACGGACAGAGUCUCCCCUGUAUUUGCACGGCGUCGAUCAAAUACACAGUACAACCAGGAUACAACCACAAUCAGAUGAAUAUAAAGAUAAUUAUACAUUCAUACAUUCACCAUUCACAUCACAGUUUUACAUUCAAGGUUUAAACAGAAAUCCACAAAAAUCUUUUGAAAACUGUUUCCUACACAGAAACUUUUAUUCUUUUAAAAAGGCUACCACGAGGGGUAGAAAACCUUUUAUUUUACAAAAUCCAGAAAUCCACAUUUUCAAAUGUAAAUAAAUACUGAACCACAUAAACUAACUAAACUAUAUAUCAACAGAAAUACCAAGGAUAAUAACUAACUCGAAAUAACCUGGGUCGGAAGAUCUAACGACCGCUACGUACGUGCCUCACGUCUCGUCUCAAUACCCAUCGCCUGCGAUACCUGAAAAAAUGGUGGGGGAGGUGAGAACAUGUAAACAUGUCUUCCCUCCCAGUGGGUACCGCAAGCCGAUGAAGGCGAGGAGUACUCACCAGAUCAGGAAGAGCUAAACAACAGCACGGGUCAGUGAAAAUACAGUGGGAACAAUAGUAAACGAAAGAGAUAUGUAAGAAGCUGACAAGUAUAGAUGCAGGUAAAUAAAACAGUAGCUACAAUAAACAGAUAAGGAUGUACUGGAAAUAAACACUACAGCUACUGUAUGCAUGCGUCAACUGACGAUAACCUCAAAAAUACCCAAUCUCGAUGCCCUAUUGGUCCGAGGACCUCAGGCCCAUGCCACACUGCUCAACCUGUUCCUGACCCUCGCAAUGAAGCGCCUGGGCCAGAAACAGAUACCUGACCCUCCUGCGGGGAAUAAACCCCCUGGUGUCACAAGCAAAUACACUCGCAAUAAAGCCCCUGGCGAUCAAUGCGGAUAUGAGCAAUAGCCAACCGUCGGCAAUCAGCCGGAAAAGAACUACCCUCUUGCGGGGCAUACAGACCGUGCAGGUCAUCAAGCUAGAAAGAAGCACAAGAACUGACCACUCAGGUCAACUAGGAUGGAACGACUAAACAUCAUCUCAAGUGUAGGCAACUAGCCGACUAAUCAAGCCUCAACAGGGAUGCAACGACCGUAAAGGCCAUCCUACCAAAAGUAUGCCGAUACGUAUGAUCAAGAUAGUCAACUACUGUAUAUAUGCAAGGAUCAACCGAACAAGUCAUAUGAGUAUAAAAUCGAGAACUACCAUCGCCCAUAACCCGACAAUCACACACAUCAGGGUAUACCGAACUCAAAGGUCAUCAAGCAACAAGAAUCCAGAAUAGGUCACAGACUAGGUCAAAAAAGGGCAAACGACCAACCAAAUCACAGACUAUAGUCAUCCGUCGACAACUAGUAGACAAUCCCACCCCUCAGGGUAUACCGACCGAAUAGGUCAUAGAACAACAGAAAUCAAGAGAACCGACCAACCAAAUCACACAUAUACGGAACACCAGAAGUCAACUCGACUCCUAAGUCACUAACAUCACACAUGGUCAAAGAACCGCACUACAAGAAUACAUGAUAUAAUGAACAGAUAGAACCAACUACUACGACCAACAAAAGAACAUGAUAUAAAAAACAGAUAAGUUAACUACACUCCUACACAUGAUACUAAACAUGGAAACAACUGAAUAGAGGAAUGCAGAUAUAAAUGCAACGUGCAAGGCUCAACACUUUAUAUCAAGAGAUAUACAUAUAGUAUAAACAUAGAUGACAGAUAAUAACAGGAGAACAAAGGUAAGAAACCAUCACCGAACGUGCACCACUGUACCGACGUCGGAUCGAAGUACCCACCUGUAAAAAUGUCGCGCAUGUCUCCUGACUCCAAAAGAACGUCAACCGGACCUAAAAAGGGUCCACCGGGUUAGUAUCUAACCCACAACUAAGAACCACAGUAAAACCAUAACCCCACAAACAAACCCACGAAGAUCGGUUUUCCAAAAACCAAAUACCGUAACUCGCCGGAAAUCCCAAAAACCACACCGGGACGCCGCCGGGACCCACUAACUGUCCCGAAACGCACCGACUCAUGCCACGAGUCACCCGCUGCCACAAAACACUCCAAUUUAGAUGUGACAUGGCAGCAAACACAAGCAAACACAACCAAACAACUAUCACCGGAUAAUUGUACGAAUCCGGGUUCCCGAAAAUGUCUAUUUCGACACCGAAACCCACCGUCGCCCACCCGUCAUUUCUGAACUCUCGAAAUGAAGCGAGUGACCAGCCAACAAGGCUCAGCGACUACACAAUAGCUCACGAAGCACCGUCGGAAUAAUUCUAAACCAAAACCGCGUUCCGUCGGCGGAUUUUGCCGACAAACGCACCGAAAAUACAUUUUCGAUCUUCGCAAAGGUCCGGGGCCUUGGACAAUCAGUCCAGAGAUCACCCACAGCCUGCCCAUGCUGCCAACAGCAGCCGUAGCAACCAGAAUUGCAUAAAAGCCCUUUCGAAUACCCGAAAUCGCAUUAUUUCAUGCGAUUUCGGCGCUUUUAUGGUCCGUCUACACAAACUAGGAGUCAAUCAGCGAAACCGAGACACCUACUGACAGAUCUCGGCGUGCCGGAGGCCGUGCUCACCUUUUGGAGCAAUUCCGGCCACUGUGGGGAACGCACGAGCGACGCGAAAUUCAGUAAACUGCGCGCACAACAUGAAAAUCAUGCUUAUCUCGCUAACCAGGGGCUCGCUGACCCUAAAUGAGGUGAGCACUGCUAUCAGCACUGAUAGACGAUCACCGUGCUCACCUCCGGAGGCAUCGGAACAGCCUCGGGUCGCCGGAACAGUGACUAGAACAGAAAAACAUGUGCAGAAAGGCUGAAAACCAGCUUACAGAGCUAGGCAGGGCUCGGGGUGGCCGGCGGCGGCCGGACAGCGGGCAGGCCGGCCAGGGGAAGGAAGCACCAGGUCAGAGAUGGAAGCAGCAGGUCGGGGAGGUCCGGGGAAGGUGCUGGCCGUCGGCGGGAGGUGGCCGGUGGCGCGGCAGCGCAGCUCAAAGCCGCCGAGUUCCUCUCGGGUUCGAGUUUCCCGGCGGCGCGGCGGCGGCCGGAGGGGGUCGGGGCUGCAAGGAUCCGGUGCCGGAGACCGAGGGGAAGGUGGUGUACCCCUCGGUGGGCUGUGGCGGUGCUUGGGAGCCGAGCGGGCCCGACCUCGGCCCGCCCGGGUCUGGGCGGCUACAAGAGCCUCGGGCGGCGGCCGGCGGUGGUCGAGGGUGGCCGGGGACGCGCGCCGGAGGUAGUCGGAGGGUGAGGAAAGACGGCGCGACCGAUCUGGAGUGGCGGCGGCGCGUGGCCCUCGAGCCCACCCGAGCUCGGUCUGGGCUGACCGAGGUGGCCGCAGGGAGCAGAGGCGGCGCCGGCGGCGCACGGGAGCGGCAGGGGCCGGCUGCGGUGGUCGCCGGACGGUCGGCGGAGACCUCCGCGGCCGUCGGGAAGCGACGGCAGGGCUAGGGGGCGGCGCGGCUCCAAGGUUGGCCCGGCUCGGACUGGGCUGACCCGGGCUGGCCGUAGCUUCCCCCAGGCGGCUCCGGCGGCGCGCGCGGGCGGCGACGGCCGGCGGGGAGGCUCGUCAGGGGACAGGGGCAACACCAGCGAUGGCCUGGAGGCAAGGCAGCCUCGGCCUGGCUCCAACCCGAGAGAGGGAGAGAGAGAGAGAGAGAGAGAGAGAAAGAAAAAGGUUCCGGCGGCGGCUGGCCGGCCGGGGCUCAGUCGGCGGCGGCCUGGGCGUGCGCAACAGGGCAGGGAAGAGGGAUGAAUGUGGCAGGGGGGCUAGGGUUAGGGUUUCUAGUAGCAAACCCUAAAACACCUUUGUAUACCUAGCUCCAAAAUGCGGAAAAGCCCCUCGAACUUCAGUAUUUGGUACUAAGUCCCAUACAGCGCGUGUAAAACGCGAGAAUACCCCUCCACGUGCGAUCCCUCGUAAAACGGUACAUAAAAUAUUGCGACUUUUGCGAAAAUACCGUUUUUGCCACUACCGACCUCUCCUCGAACAACGCGCGAUUUCCGCAGAUCCGUCCGUCAGAUUUGCGAACGGAUUGCACCAGUGCGAUCAGCACGACGGAGACAACAAAGCUACGAUUUUGGUUCACCUCGAUCGACCACGGAUUCGCGACGAAAUCCAACCUUCUUCCAAUAGGAGGAAUAACACACAAAUACAUAUAAAACAUGUAUUUUUGGAUUUUCUCGAAAUCCGUGCGUCGAACUCAAAAUCCGUCAGUGCCACUAGUUCCAGAACAGCUGAACCGGUCGAAACGAGCUAUUGGACUGAUAUGAACGGAGUCUGAUACGCACCAGAAGCCAACUCUACUCCGUGGCUUCUCCGGAAAACCGGAGUUACUAUUCACUUAAGUGAAAACUAAUAAUCGCGUAACUUCUCCGUUUUAGCUCAUUUUCUCCUGAAACUUGACGAGUGCUUAUGUAAUUAAAUUACACACAUAAACAUCGUCAACAGAGAGUUUAGUUGCACUGUCAAAAAAUCUCAGUCCUUACAUCAUCCCCCCCUUAAAAGAAGUUUCGUCCUCGAAACUUGACCACGUACCCACCGUAAUCGAACUCUGACAUUGCCCCACCGACACGGUAACACCUUUGGAUACUGGUCAAUCACAAAUCUAGAAUUGGACAGAUCAACCUUAGAAAAGGGGAGAAUAGGACUGCGGUUCCACAAGAACAAGACGAGGGGAACGUACCAAACCAAAGUCUGCGGACCAUAACACACCGGGAUCAACACCAUCCUGUAACCUUGGUCCGAAAAGCCUCAACCGACUCGACCACGUCACUAAGUUCACGAGAAAGAAUCACGAGCCAACACCACCAAACCGGAGUCAAAAAAAUUUCGACUAGCCAACAAUAUCAACUUGCUCACCACGAGCGAAGACGAAACGUUCUCCUAAAACUCGAGUCGGUAGAAACAGAAUCUGAGACUACAGUCUCCCACUAACCGAUCACGCAACUGCCGAAGUCAAGUCCACAUCCACGGAAAGCCGCCUUUGACAUUCGACAGUCUUAGGUCCCACAACCUCACCUUUCACCUGACCGAAAAGGUCGAAGGCUGACAAAACUAAUUGAGCUUGACAAACCGCUUGCUCAAUUAGAACUGGUUCGACUAAACCAAUAAACUCGCCAUGCAAGUCCAAAACUUGGUGCACAGGAUUGCAAAUCGCACUAUACGAUACAAACCAUCGGUGAUGCUCAACACCUGUCUCUACGAGACCCUGUCGCUGCCGUCCUACAAGGGACCCUAGCGAUCGGUGUUUCGAGCAACACCAGAUAACUGUCUCAUUGAGAUCCUGGCGCACCUGUCACCAAUUAACCGGACAAGCAUACAAUUCUAAAGUCGCACAGUAGGCUGAAAUACAAUCCUUACACCAUAUCACCUACUGUGACAAUCAAAGCCAACAACUAGGCUCAAGUCACUCAACCAACAAUUUUGAACCUCAAGACAACAGACCGAAACUACUAACCAACAAACCUUUUUGCGGUGAUGAUAAAUCAACUGCGCAAACCUGCCAAGAGAAUACAAGGCCCCACUAUGUGGUCAAAGAUGACCGAUACCCAAUCAUCCUUACAAGACUAUUUCUCUAGCUUUCACACAAAACAGUCUAGAGAACACAUCGACCCAAUCCAUAAGUCCCAAAUGGGAAGAUGGUAUUUCGUUCCUCUUUCGACAGUAUAUUGUCUGCAGCCAAUAUACUUAUCAAAAGAAAAGCGAAAUAUCCGAAGAUCCACUACCAACAACCAGUUGGAAGUACAACGCGAUAAAGUAUCAAGCCACUUGAUACCUCUCUACUGAACCAGAAGUUCACAACCAAUACUAUCGAAACAUCAACUUUACAAGUCGACAUUCAAAAUUAGAACGACCCUGGAACAUCUUAAAUCUAGACCAACUACAACCAACCCACAACACACCAAUUUGGGUGUUAGAAUAACCGCAUACGAUGUAUGCCUUAACGAAAACAUGACACCAAAACUGUGUCAAUCCGAUUCUAGUAGGAAGAAAGAACGAGUUCAAGGUCAAAAGAUCCGAACCGCUGAUUCGAAUCAACAAUCAAGGAGGAUAGGUAGGCAUCACAACCCUACCCAAAAAAUCUGCGGAAGCAACACUAACAAUGCAGUCGCCUAAACGACCGCUACCAAACCCUGGGCUACACCCUAGUAGCCCCACUGAAGUCGCGACCGUAACUGGUCUAAGCACCGUCUCCGUGGAGACACUCGCAACAGCUCUCGUGUCCUAAGUAAAGAGAGUGGCCUGGGCGUCGGCAGUCAUGACACUCGCCUAGGCCCAGAGAUCACUGGCCUUUCAAGGCCCCACCUGAUAGGAAUGGCUACACCUGGGGGACGUCGCCCCACCACUCGAUGUCCGAAAAAGUACCCCGCCACUACACCCGACUUAGACACCAGCUUGUGCGAACCGUAACACGUACAUAAACACCAUGCACUUCGAGUUUACCAAACUCGAAUGCAACCCAGGACGCAAGUCCAAACCCCGCACUCACGUGCCUAUAUACCGUGGUCUUCCUAUUGGUCAACCUAACCAAUGGUUCAGUUUCAUUUACUUUUCAAAACAACCUGUGAAUGGUGUUGUGGUUGUAACCCUUUGCUCUGAUACCAUUUUAAUCUGUCACGCCCCGGGGUCCCCUUUUUGUUUGAAAUACAGCGGAAAAGCGUUUGAAAAUUUUUUUUGAAAACCUGACCCCAGAGUAUGCCAGAUCCGCCACAAAUACAGGGAAUCCACUGUUCACACGGACAGAGUCUCCCCUGUACUUGCACGGCGUCACACAAGUACAGAAGUACAAACAGUAUACAACCACAAUCAAAUGAAUAUACAGAUAGCUAUACAUUCAUACAUUCUCCAUUCACAUCACAGUGUUACAUUCGAGGUUUAAAGAGAAAUCUACAAAAACCUUUUGAAAGCUGUUUCCUACACAGAAACCUUUAUUCUUUUAAAAACGCUACCACGAGGGGUAGAAAAUCUUUUAUUUUACAAAAUCCAGAAAUCCACCUUUUCAAAUGUAAAUGAUUACUGAACCACAUAAACCAACUAAACUAUAUAUCAACAGAAAUACCGAGGAUAAUAACUAAAUCGAAAUAACCUGGGUCGGAAGCUCUAUCGACCGCUACACACGUACCUCACGUCUCGUCCCACUACUCAUCGCCCGCGAUACCUGAAAAAUGGUGGGGGAGGUGAGAACAUGUAAACAUGUCUCCCCUCCCAGUGGGUACCGCAAGCCGAAGAAGGCGAGGAGUACUCACCGGAUCAGGAAGAGAUGACCAACAGUAUGGGUAAGUAAAAUGCUGUAGCAACGAUAAUGAACGAAUGAGAUAUAUAUAUAUAUGAAAACAUAACUACCGCUACUGUAUGUACAACUGCAAGCAUACAAGGAUAUCAAUACUAUAGUAGCAAGACAACUGUAAAGAAAGAACUAGAAGUACAUAUGCAACAACCGCUACUAUAGCUAUAUGCGUCAACCGGACGAGAAGUCCAAAAGUACCCAAUCUAAACCGCCGUGUCGGUCUAAGGACCUC